rnacentral:rRNA from 1 species
GGGAUUAUUGGCGAACGGGUGNGUAUCACGUGGGCGAUCNGCCCUGCACUCUGGGACAAGCCCUGGAAACGGGGUCUAAUACCGGAUAUGAUUGUCCAGCACAUGGUGGAUGGUGUNCAGCUCCGGCGGUGCAAGAUGAGCCCGCGGCCUAUCAGCUUGUUGGUGAGGUAGUGGCUCACCAAGGCGACGACCGGUAGCCGGUCUGAGAGGGCGACCGGCCACACUGGGACUGAGACACGGCCCAGACUCCUACGGGAGGCAGCAGUGGGGAAUAUUGCACAAUGGGCGAAAGCCUGAUGCAGCCACGCCGCGU